ACUCCUACGGGAGGCAGCAGUGGGGAAUAUUGCACAAUGGGCGCAAGCCUGAUGCAGCCAUGCCGCGUGUGUGAAGAAGGCCUUCGGGUUGUAAAGCACUUUCAGCGAGGAGGAAGGGUAGUGUGUUAAUAGCACAUUGCAUUGACGUUACUCGCAGAAGAAGCACCGGCUAACUCCGUGCCAGCAGCCGCGGUAAU
rnacentral:rRNA from 1 species